UUUUGAAUAGCUCAGUUGGUAGCACACAAGACUCUUCAUCUUAAGAUUGUGGGUUUGAGCCCCAUGUUGGGCAAAAA